AUCAUUUCUUGGCCUUUUGGCUAAGAUCAAAUGUAGUAUCUAUUCUUGUAAGUUUAAUAUCUCAUAUGUCUUUUACCUGAGGACAAUACAGUAAAUAGAUUUUUGAAACAGAAGUAGAAUACGAGCUUGCUCCAUACAUUCCACUCAUCAACCUGGUAUUGCAGUAUCCCUGGGAACAGUGCACAAAAA